rnacentral:lncRNA from 1 species
AUCCCAUCAUCGGGAUUCCCGCGCCAUAUGCAAAGUAAGAGUGGCGUGCAAUGACAGUGUAAAAUGAUGGUAUCUAUAUGCACGCGUUUAUUGAUUGUUUAAAAAAUUUUGGUUAUUUAUUUAUUAUUUAUUAUUUAUUAUUAUUUAUUUAUUAUUUUUAUAUAUACUUUAUUUUUUGGUUAUUUAAAUCCAUGUUUGUUGUUGGUCAAUUUUUACUUGUUUACAAAGCUUAUCUAAAUAAUUAAUUAAUUAACUUUUAAAUGAUUAAUUUAACUUUGUUUAGUAAUAUUUAUUUGAAUUAACAAAAUCUUUCUACAUAUAUUAUUUUCUAAUAAUGACUAUUUGACUUAAUGGGUUUUGAAAUUUAGAGUUCAGAUUUAUCCCGACGCUUCGGUGAAAAUCCGUCUCGAAUUUCGUACCCGGAAAACAUCCGCCCGAAAGAGGCAACUCUUUGCCCCCUUUUUGGCGGUAAUACUCAAAUAUUUUCUUCCAAUUAUAUUAUUUAUUAUUAUUAUUUAUUUAUUUUUCAUUUUAUUAUUAU